GUUCGUAUCGAAAUUCAAUUUGUUUACAUUUGUCUAUGGACGACCUUGCUCGAGCUCGGAUUAAUUCAGCCGGCAGAAUUGCUUGAAAUUUCUAAAAGAUGCAGAGUUUCAAUCCCAUGAAAUGGAAAACGAGAUCUAUCUUGCAUGGCAUUCGUAGGCACUUUUUAUUAUCAUUUAAUUUAAACAUACAAGAAAAUAACGUGCUUCGUUUUAUUAAUAAAAAAAAAAGAAUUUCGCGAGCUAGAGAAGUGCAUCGUGCGUAGCAUCCCGCGCAGUGGUGCCCCUAAUUUUCUCUCCUGUUGCCAAUCGCGAACU